UCAUUUCAGUAGUGCAUAUACUAAAAUUGGAACAAUACAAAGUAGAUUAGCAUGGCCCCCAUACAUGGAUGACACGCAAGUUUGUGAAGCAUUUAAAAAAUAA
rnacentral:snRNA from 1 species